AAGGCUAAAUGCCGCAUUGAACUGGACCUUGCGAAGGGAAUCAAACCAUAGUAAAGGUUCUACAGCCACAUAAAUUAGAAGAAAACAAAGAAAGAA